UGGGGAAUUUUGGACAAUGGGCGCAAGCCUGAUCCAGCAAUGCCGCGUGCAGGAUGAAGGCCUUCGGGUUGUAAACUGCUUUUGUACGGAACGAAAAGGCUCUGGUUAAUACCUGGGGCUCGUGACGGUACCGUAAGAAUAAGCACCGGCUAACUACGUGCCAGCAGCCGCGGUAAUACGUAGGGUGCAAGCGUUAAUCGGAAUUACUGGGCGUAAAGCGUGCGCAGGCGGUUUUGUAAGACAGAGGUGAAAUCCCCGGGCUCGACCUGGGAAUUGCCUUUGUGACUGCAAGGCUUGAGUGCGGCAGAGGGGGAUGGAAUUCCGCGUGUAACAGUGAGAUGCGUAGAUAUGCGGAGGAACACCGAUGGCGAAGGCAAUCCCCUGGGCCUGCACUGACGCUCAUGCACGAAAGCGUGGGGAGCAAACA
rnacentral:rRNA from 1 species